CAGUAGGGAAUCUUCCACAAUGGGCGAAAGCCUGAUGGAGCAACGCCGCGUGUGUGAUGAAGGGUUUCGGCUCGUAAAACACUGUUGUAAGAGAAGAAUGACAUUGAGAGUAACUGUUCAAUGUGUGACGGUAUCUUACCAGAAAGGAACGGCUAAAUACGUGCCAA
rnacentral:rRNA from 1 species